rnacentral:rRNA from 1 species
AGUUCGAUUAUGGCCGACGAAACGCUGGCGGGAUGCUGUUGCAUAAUACGCAAAGCUUGAAGGUGUGGCACGGACUUCGGUCUGGUGGCGAGUAGCGAACGGGUGAGUAAUGUAUCGGAACGUGCCUAGGUGGGGAAAACUGGCCGAAAGCGUAGCCGAAUACCGCAUACACACCCUUCGGGGGAAAGCGGGGACCUCGGGCCUCGCACCAUUGAUGGCCGAUAUCGGAUUAAGAAGGUGGGGUAACGGCUCACCAGCGACGAUCCGUAGCUGGUUUGAGAGGACGACCAGCCACACUGGGACUGGAGACACGGCCUCAGACUCCUACGGAGGCAGCAGUGGGGAAUUUUGAUUACCGGGGAAACCCUGACUUGUUUAUCCCGCGUGUGCGAUGAAGCCUCGGGUUGUAAAGCACUUGGCAGGAAGAAACGGCACGGAUAAUACCCCGUGCAACUGAUUUGUACCUGCAGAAUAAGCACUGGCUAACUACGUGCCAGCAGCCGCGGUAAUACGUAGGGUGCAGCGUUAAUCGGAAUUACUGGGCGCAGCGCGUAGGCGGUUCGAAAAAGAAAGAUGAAAUCCCAGAGCUUGAUCUUGGAACUGGCAUUUUUAACUACCAGCGAGUGCAUGAGGAGGUGGAAUUCGCGUGUAGCAGUAAUGCGUAGAUAUGCGGAGGACACCGAUGACGAAGGCAGCCCUUGAUAACACACCGAUAGACGCUCGCAGCAACAAGCGGGAGCAAACAGGAUGAUCUCUGGUAGUCCACGCCCAAAUGAUGCCAACUGCUGUUGGGGCCUUCGGCCUGGUAGCGCAGCAACGCGAAGCUGGGGACUGCCUGGGGAGUACGGUCGCAAGAUUAAACUCAAAGGAAUUGACGGGGACCAAGCGGUGGAUGAUGUGGAUGAAUUCCGAUGCAACGCGAAACCCUACCUACCUCUUGACAUGUCUGGAAUCCCGAAGAGAUUUGGGAGUGCUCGCAGAGAACCGGAACAGGUAAGCUGUAUGGCUGUCGUCAGCUCGUGUCGUGAGAUGUUGAAGCGAGUCCCGCAACGAGCGCAACCCUUACGCUAGCUGCUACGAAAGGGCACUCUACGAUCGUUGCAGGAAACCCGGAGGAAGGUGGGGGAUGACGUCAAGUCCUCACAGUCCUUGCGGUAAAUAUCGUCGGCAAUGGUCGGGACAGAGGGUCACCAACCCGCGAGGGGGAGCCAAUCCCAGAAACCCGAUCGUAGUCCGAUCGCAGUCUGCAACUCGAUCAUGUAGUCGGAAUCGCUAGUAAUCGCGGAUCAGCAUGUCGCGGCGAAUACGUUCCCGGGUCUUGUACACCGCCACACCAUGGGAGCGGGUUUUUACCAGAAGUAUGAUAGCCUAACUGCAGGAGGGCGAUUGUCAAUGGGGAGAUUCAUGAUCAGAAGUCGUAACAAGGU